rnacentral:rRNA from 1 species
AGAGUUUGAUCAUGGCUCAGGACGAACGCUGGUGGCGUGCUUAACACAUGCAAGUCGAACGGAGAGCCAAUGAAGGAGUUUUCGGACAACGGAUUUGGUUUCUUAGUGGCGGACUGGUGAGUAACGCGUGAGGAACCUGCCCUUGAGUGGGGGACAACGGCUGGAAACGGCUGCUAAUACCGCAUAACGCAUUGUCGGGACAUCCCGGUAAUGCCAAAGAUUUAUCGCUCAAGGAUGGCCUCGCGUCUGAUUAGAUAGUUGGCGGGGUAACGGCCCACCAAGUCGACGAUCAGUAGCCGGACUGAGAGGUUGACCGGCCACAUUGGGACUGAGAUACGGCCCAGACUCCUACGGGAGGCAGCAGUGGGGAAUAUUGGGCAAUGGACGCAAGUCUGACCCAGCAACGCCGCGUGAAGGAAGAAGGCUUUCGGGUUGUAAACUUCUUUUAAGGGGGAAGAGCGGAAGACGGUACCCCUUGAAUAAGCCACGGCUAACUACGUGCCAGCAGCCGCGGUAAUACGUAGGGGGCAAGCGUUAUCCGGAAUUACUGGGUGUAAAGGGUGCGUAGGCGGCACACUAAGUCAGCUGUGAAACCCCGUAGCUCAACUACGGGCUUGCAGUUGAAACUGGUGAGCUUGAGUACAGGAGGGGAAAGCGGAAUUACUAGUGUAGCGGUGAAAUGCGUAGAUAUUAGUAAGAACACCGGAGGCGAAGGCGGCUUUCUGGACUGAAACUGACGCUGAGGCACGAAAGCGUGGGGAGCAAACAGGAUUAGAUACCCUGGUAGUCCACGCUGUAAACGAUGAAUGCUAGGUAUUGGGGGGAUAUCUCUCGGUGCCGCAGUUAACGCAAUAAGCAUUCCACCUGGGGAGUACGAUCGCAAGAUUGAAACUCAAAGGAAUUGACGGGGCCCCGCACAAGCGGUGGAGCAUGUGGUUUAAUUCGAUGCAACGCGAAGAACCUUACCAAGUCUUGACAUACCAUUGAAUAGUAUAGAGAUAUGCUAGUCUUCGGACAAUGGAUACAGGUGGUGCAUGGUUGUCGUCAGCUCGUGUCGUGAGAUGUUGGGUUAAGUCCCGCAACGAGCGCAACCCUUAUGUUCAGUAGCCAGCGCGCAAAGGUGGGCACUCUGGACAGACUGCCGUGGACAACACGGAGGAAGGUGGGGAUGACGUCAAAUCAUCAUGCCCCUUAUGACUUGGGCUACACACGUGCUACAAUGGCCGGCACAAAGAGAAGCGAGUCCGCGAGGAGGAGCGAAGCUCAAAAAGCCGGUCCCAGUUCGGAUUGUAGUCUGCAACCCGACUACAUGAAGCUGGAAUCGCUAGUAAUCGCAGAUCAGCAUGCUGCGGUGAAUACGUUCCCGGGGCUUGUACACACCGCCCGUCAAACCAUGGGAGUUUGUAGCACCCGAAGCCAGUGGCCUAACGCAAGAGGGAGCUGUCGAAGGUGAGACAGAUAACUGGGGUUAAGUCGUAACAAGGUAACC